UGCUUUACACAUGCAAGUCGAGCGGCAGCGCGGGGCACCUGUAGGCGGCGAGCGGCGAACGGGUGAGUAACAUAUCGGAACGUAUCCAUAAGUGGGGGACAACCUAGCGAAAGUUAGGCUAAUACCGCAUACGCUCGAGAGAGGAAAGUGGGGGAUCGCAAGACCUCACGCUUUAGGAGCGGCCGAUAUCAGAUUUGCUAGAUGGUGAGGUAAAGGCUUACCAUGGCGACGAUCUGUAGCUGGUCUGAGAGGAUGAUCAGCCACACUGGGACUGAGACACGGCCAGACUCCUACGGGAGGCAGCAGUGGGGAAUUUUGGACAAUGGGGGCAACCCUGAUCCAGCCAUUCCGCGUGAGUGAAGAAGGCCUUCGGGUUGUAAAGCUCUUUUGUUCGGGACGAAACGGUUUUGGCGAAUACCCAAGAUUACUGACGGUACCGGAAGAAUAAGCACCGGCUAACUACGUGCCAGCAGCCGCGGUAAUACGUAGGGUGCGAGCGUUAAUCGGACAUUCACUGGGCGUAAAGCGUGCGCAGGCGGUUUUUAUAAGCCAGAUGUGAAAGCCCCGGGCUCAACCUGGGAAUGGCAUUUGGGACUGUAAGGCUGGAGUAUGGCCAGAGGAG
rnacentral:rRNA from 1 species